AGCAGUGCUUGGCGCCUUCUCAGCACAGUUGCCUGGUGCGAGCGCUCGGCGGGCGCUCUGAGCAAAGGUGAUGCGGCGCUGUAUUCGUUUGGUGUACGCGCGCAGCAGCGGUGCAAUGACUGGCGCGGCGCCUCCGCCCGCUGUGCUGGAGGCGAGCGCUAGCUCGCCUGUCGGGCUCUACCAGAAAUGUCUCAACCCAAUGACCUCAGCUGGGGAUGUGGCAAGCUUAACAGCAGCUCUUCUUCCUGCGAUCGGUAGGGGAGAGCUUUCACUGCAUCAGCAGGUUCAACUACUGCAUGCCCUCGCUGCACGUUCGAUUCGGUUCGAGGAUGUGAUGCUGAGGUGCCUGUGGACUGUUUUCAAAGCCCCCUCACCCACUGACGAUGACGUUUCUGUGGAGUCCUCCAAGGCGAGGGGGUGUUAUUCACUGUCCGAGCUGUCCGCGUACACGAGUAGCGCCUUUCAAGUAAUGGCUGAGCAGCGGUUUCUCAACGACCCGCAGAUGACGGCAGUGGCGCUUGGCCGCUGCGUAGAGUUAAUCCCCUACGCGAGUUUAGAUGGGCUGCGGAGCACGUACCGCGGGCUGAGCGCAGUGAACCACAUGUUCUUCAGCGUCGCCGAGGUAGCGCAUCACAGCAGCGAGGUAACAGAGCGGAUGACGACAAAGGAGUUUUACCAGACAACAGACGUGCCCGAUGAGGAGACUCUGCGACACCAACCUAAUUUGAUCGAUGUUCUGUGCGGUGAAGUGGAGCUACAACUCCGACGCCUGUGCGACACCUUUGCGAGAGCAGCACCCGGCCCGUUCGAAGUGGAGGACGCUUUACCUGCACCGGUUGCGACAGGGGCGUUGCUCACCCCUUCGGAUGCGCGAGACACCCACGAGGCACAGUGGUUCUUGGAUGUGCUGGAGGCCCUCGCCGUGGUGGGUGUACUGCACGCCGGCACACUGGACAGCUUAACCGACCUUGUCAGUCGAUACUGCACCCAAUCUUCCGCGGGCUUUUUCAUUAAGGCCCUAGCUCACGCUACGCUCAUCGAGGAGCGAGUGGUGGACCCGUUGACGUACGAGGAAUCGGCCGCUGUGCGCGAUGCACGCCGACGUCUCACGCUGCAUCUCAGCGGCAAGAUACUGCAGGCACGCGGCAUCCACGGGUACCUGCGGCGCCACCCCCAGGAGCUUCUACUGCUUCGCCGCUUAUUUGAGCACGACACCGCCCAACCCACCCUUUCUCCCGAUCUGUGGGACGCCGUUAGAACGAUUCACGUUGCCCACCGUCACACGGUAGCUGCGUCGCAGACAAGUCGUCGACCAGUUGGGGCGCUGUUCCAGAAAAUGUACGACGUUAAAGUGAAGCCGAUCUCAGUCGACAACGCAGAGCCGGAACGCUUCGUGCCACCCGAGUUCAAAACAUGGCGAAGCCCUGCUGCCACACCGCGCGGAGGCCACCCCCGAAAUAGGCGGCCAUCGAGGCGCAUGGCAUUUGGCACGCGUCGCAUCUCGAAAAACUACAUCAAGAACAAGCGUAGGAAGUUCUGCCCAGCGGUGUUUUGAACAGCAUACAUCCGCAACAGAUCUGUGCCGCUCACGGAUCCCUGCACCAAAAAAAAAACGGAAAGGUGGCGAGUGACUUCUUUUUCUCUCAGCACCCCCUCAUUCCACCCCUCCUUUCAUCUCGUUUCGUCAUCCUCCUCGAUCACGUCGCCCUUGGGCCGCUGCAUCGCUGCGAGGGGCGUGAAGGCUGCAAAGAAUGGGGAGGGGGGGGCAGCCGUGAGGGGCCGAGAGGAGUACUGCUUGGUGUCCCCUCAAAUCUCCGAUGAGUACGUAUGUGCCCUGUCUUUACAGGAGGAGGAUUCCUCGACUGCUUUCG
rnacentral:misc_RNA from 1 species